rnacentral:lncRNA from 1 species
GAUCAGCAGUGGUCCAGAGGAGCUCCAGGCCCUUCUGGGCAGCUACCUGAAGAAUUGCUGCUUAGGAUGGAAUCAUGCCCAGCCUUUGUUUCUAAAAUUAACUGUGUAUUUUUUAUAUUCUCCAGUGGGAAAACAGCCAAAACCAUUUGAUCUCUCAAUUCUAGUGAGGUUCCAGCAGGUAGUCUCCUCUGAGUAUUGCUGGGAGGUAUUAGACAGUGGCCAGUGCAUAAAGAAGGAGGCUUCACUUCUUCAAGGGAGACUGAGAAUUUUCCUUUUAAAAUGCAAUGCAGAAAAACAACCCCAUUAAAAAAGGGACAAAGGACAUGAACAGACAUUUCUCAGGACAUACAAGUAGCCAACAAACAUGAAAAAUGCUCAUCAUCAGUAAUCAUCAGAAAAGUACAAAUCAAAACCGCAACGAGAUACCAUCUUAAAACAGUCAGAAUGGCUAUUAUUAAAAAGUCAAAAAACAACAGAUGUUGGUGAGGCUGUGGCAAAAAGGGAAUGCAUAUACACUGUUGGUGGGAAUGUAAAUUAGUUCAGCCACUAUGGAAAGUAGUUUGUAGAUUUCUCAAAUAACUAAAAACAGAGCUACCAUUUAAUGCAGCAAUACCAUUACUGGAUAUAAACCCAAAGGAAAAUAAAUCAUUUUGCCAAAAAGACACAUGCACUCAUAUGUUCACUGUCACACUAUUCACAAUAGCAAAGACACAGAAUCAACCUAGGUGCCCAUCAGCGGCGGACUGGAUAAAGAAAAUGUAAUAUAUACACUAUGGAAUACUACACAGCCAUAAAAAAUGAAAUAAUGUCCUUUGCAGCAACAUGGAUGCAGCUGGAAGCCAUCAUCCUAAGCGAAUUAAUGCAGGAACAGAAAACCAAAUGCUGCAUGUUCUUGAGAGAACUAAACAUUGAGCACACAGAUAUAAAGAUGGGAACAAUAGACACUGGGGGUUACUGGAGGGGGGAGAGGGUUAAAAAACUACCCAUUUGGUACUGUGCUCAUUACCUGAGUGAUGGAAUCUGUACCCCAAACCUCACCAUCAUGCAACAUACUUAUGUAACAAACUUGCACAUGGUACCCCCUGUAUCUAAAAUAAAAGUUGAUAGAAACAAACAAAAAAUGAAAUGCAGAUCAGGAGGAGCCAGAAACCUGGACUAAAAGGGGAGAGAGGAAAAAAGAGGGAAAUGGAGAGGAAAGCAGGGGGAAAGAGGUGGGGACCAGAAGGAUACAGUGGGGGAUGAAAGGGAGAAGGAGACAAUAUAUGGGCCUCCAGAGCACAGCCCUUUGAGAUUCUGAAUAUAGAAGAAAUAAUCUUGGGGGGCUGGACAAAGGCAUCCAACCUGAAGGAUGUGGGUCAUUGUUCUUUCCAGCUGGACAAGGCAAGUUUCUGUAGAACUGCGCUCUGCUCCCUGCCUGUGGGAUGGCAGCUACAGAACAGAAGGCUGCUCUGGGUGUGUUCACAAGGACUUAGAAGGAGCCGGUGUCAGGAACAGAGGAGGGGACAGCAAUAUGUUCCUGAGUCCCCAAGUCCUCAGCGGCACUGCAGCAAAACCAGAAAGCUCACUGGCCCACCCACAUGAUCACUUCUGUCCCCUGCAAUGUGACCCAGGGCCAGGGUCAUUCAUAAAUUACAGGUCUCCUUCUAAGGCAGUGUUGAAAGAGAACUGGAAUACAGUUCACCUACUUAAACUUCCCAAUUCAAAGUGCCUUGGUAAUGUCUCCACUCUUGAGAUUGAAACACAAAAUAUAUUUCAGGCAAUUUAGGAAAAAUACUACCCCACACUUAGUUGAUGGCAUGGAAUCCACCAAUUUCUAUAGCUCUUUAUGAUGUUUGCCUAGCUAAAGAACAACAAAUGAGAAAACAUUAAAAAC